UACGUAGGGGGCAAGCGUUGCCCGGAAUCAUUGGGCGUAAAGAGCGUGUAGGCGGCCAGAAAAGUCCGCUGUGAAAACUCGGGGCUCAACUCCGAGCCUGCGUUCGAUACUGGAUGGCUAGAGUCUGGUAGGGGGAUCUGGAAUUCCUGGUGUAGCGGUGGAAUGCGCAGAUAUCAGGAGGAACACCGGUGGCGAAGGCGGGAUCCUGGGCCAGUACUGACGCUGAGGAGCGAAAGCGUGGGGAGCAAACAGG
rnacentral:rRNA from 1 species